rnacentral:rRNA from 1 species
CGGGUGAGUAAUGUAUGGGGAUCUGCCUGAUGGCGGGGGAUAACUACUGGAAACGGUAGCUAAUACCGCAUAACGCCGCAAGACCAAAGAGGGGGACCUUCGGGCCUCUUGCCAUCGGAUGUGCCCAGAUGGGAUUAGCUAGUAGGUGGGGUAACGGCUCACCUAGGCGACGAUCCCUAGCUGGUCUGAGAGGAUGACCAGCCACACUGGAACUGAGACACGGUCCAG